ensembl:lncRNA
GGGCCAGAGAGGAGGAAGCAGGUAGCUGUGAACAUGGCCGUAAAACACCAAGUGAAUACCAGGAGGCCGCAGAGGAGCUGUAUAUUACUUCAGGACUCCUGUCUAUCAAAAUACACGUGCAGAGGACCCAUCCAAACAACGACAAAGAAGGAGAGGUUGCUGAUGGAGGACGUCAUCACAAUAGACAUUGUAUCCUGGUGAAGAAGGCUCCAGACCGCUAUGCAGACUACAUUCUCCCGGUAAGAAAUGAGCCACCUGCAGCCUCCCCUGUCCCACAGUGCCCACUACUGAGAAAAGCCAACGGUCAGAGCGAGUUUGUGCCCUGGAGUCAUCGGGACAUGGAAGCGCUGGAGAAGGGACUGCCGCCAUUGGGAGAAGGAGCUAACCCAUGGAUCCUGCUCUUUGAAAAAUACACAAUAGGUGAUAAGUUGGCACUUGGAGAUAUGAGGGCCUUAAUAGCCCGUCUAGAGGGAACAGUCAACCUAAGAGCCUUAGAAGCAAGAGCGGGAACCACCAACCAAGAGGAUGAGGCUCCAUUUGAUAAGGUCAGAGGAGUAUUUUGGGCCACAAUGCGAAACAUCUGGCCUACAAAGCCAAGUAUGUCCAUCCUGAUGGGUCUGAGUAUGAAACAAGGUGAAGACAUCUCUCAAUAUGUGAGGAGAGCAGAAACAGAAUGGCAUUUGGCCACAGGAGAAAGACACGACAAUAACAAAUCUACUGCAGUAAUCUGGCGACACACUGUGCAGCAAGGCUUGCCCCAGGCUGUUCAAACAGCGUUGGAGGGAGUAGUGGGACUGGACGACAUGGAUGAAAGCACAUGGAGAGACCAUCUAACCCACUUAUACAAAAUACAGAGAGCUGCGGAGACAAGGAGGCAAGAAGAACUGGGGACGAUGACGCAUCGACUCCUGAAGAUCCAACUGGCAGCAGCAGAUGCAGAAGCAACGAAAAAACAGAGAGUCAGGAAACAACUGUCGCUAGGAGCAGGCGACUCCAAUGCGAGACGGUCCAGAUCGGCAACGACACCCAGUAGAAACGGCGUUGUGGGGGUUUUACGACGUUGUUAGAUAAGCCAGGAGGUGGCCUGGGGUUGAUUAGCAUCACCAAAGGCUAUGUGAAGGGAUGCUUUUACACCUACCUCAACAUGAGGGACUGGGGGAGAACAGAAUACAACUAGAGUAUCUGCCGAUUUGGGAACAUUAUUGCAUGCAGUGAAAAACACAAUCAUAAGAUUCUAAACAACAGAGAUGUGUAGAUGACAUUGAUUUAAGGUGUUAAGAAGAACAUACAGUCGUUCUAUCAAUGAAACAACUCACAAAUUGAUUAGAAUGUUUUUAGGAAAACACUAGAUGUUAGAGUUUAGCUACUCAAGUGGCAUUUUAGGGAUAACAGCAGACGAUGGCCAACGCAGGAAGAUCCAACAUGACUUUUCUUCCUGGAACGAAUGUGCAAUGACAUUGCUCUUCUCAUACACUGACACAAGGACUGAUGAGACACACAGAUGAUACAAUUACUCCACAUUAAAAGAAAUAGCUAAAACUGGGAAAUAAGUGGGUGAAAUGUUGAGUUCCAGUUAUGUUUAAAUAUGCACACACUAGAUGGUAGAACUUGUUUGCUUGAAGAGUUUGGUAAACCAGAAGAAAGAGCAACAGGAAUUGGGAGAACACACACACACUCACACUCACACGCAUACACUCACACGCACAUCUAGACACACCUACACACACCCACACACAUAGCUGCACCACUUGUGCUUCUCUAUUCAACAGCCGAUUGGGGAAUCUUGUCCUAAUGGGACCUCCGGUUAGCAGAGUAGUCUGCUCACAGGAACUGAGGUGAUUCGAGGUCCAAGGAGGGAGCGUGAAGCUUAAUCACACGUCUAGGAUGACAGCUACGUGUCAUCUGACCAAACCGCUGACAACAACAGAUGUUCCAACAGAGGAACAUCAAGGAGGAGAAGUAUAGGCACACACAUACAACGAAGAAAUCCACAAACACUGAGCUAAUGUGACACACAAUUUCCAGAUUAGAGAAGGAACGGGAACUGCUGGGACACUUGAUAAACACAUAUGAUAAGAAUGUUCAGGAUGCAAACAUACGCCAACGAUAUUACAGUAACAGAAUUUGAGGAUUUUGAGUUCAGAGCGUCUAUUCGGUUGCAAUGACCAAUCAUCACCAAGAUAAAACUAAGUAGCAUUAGACACAUUCACUGGGAACAUUUGGACAGAAGGAGGGGAGAGAAGUCCACCAUUUCAUAGAAUUGUGCCUAUUCAGAUAACUACAGCAUUGUCUCGGUUGAAAGGCAUAUAUCAUAGUAAGAAUUGAAAGUAAGAAUUGUUUUUAGGAGGCUAGAAGUUCUUGUAUGUGUUGUUUCUAUUUCACUCCAAACAGAGCUGAGAUCAUUAUUCAAUGCAGGUGGAUCCACACGACAACAAGUGGAGAGAUGGUGUCCAUUUAUGGAGGGAGAGUAAAAUAUGAAGGGCAAGGUCUCAACCAUUGACCCACUGGUUAUGUUCUCCUCCUCAACAUGUGUUUUCAACUUGAAGCAUCACUGUGGCACCGCCACAUAUAGAGCAGUUAUUCUGUUUGUUGAUGUCAUCCCUCCAGAAACAAACAGGGAUGUGAGCAUCACUUGAAAGACACA